GGAGAAGGGUCACUUUAUCAUUUAUCUUAACAGAAAAGAGAAGAAAUAAAACAUUUAGAUAUAGUACGAUGUAAAUACCUGCUUUUCAUGGUAUCAUAAUGAAAAUGACACAAAGUUACGGGCCUUAAAAUGCACUAAUUUUGACUGGUUUUGGUUUUGCACGACAACUUUAAAAUCGACAUUAAAAUUAAUAUACGAGCUUAAC
rnacentral:lncRNA from 1 species